CAGCAGCCGCGGGAAUACGAAGGAGGCUAGCGUUGUUCGGAAUCACUGGGCGUAAAGCGCACGUAGGCGGACUUUUAAGUCAGGGGUGAAAUCCCAAGGCUCAACCUUGGAACUGCCUUUGAUACUGGAAGUCUUGAGUUCGGGAGAGGUGAGUGGAACUGCGAGUGUGGAGGUGAAAUUCGUAGAUAUUCGCAAGAACACCAGUGGCGAAGGCGGCUCACUGGCCCGAUACUGACGCUGAGGUGCGAAAGCGUGGGGAGCAAACAGGAUUAGAUACCCCCGUAGUCCCUGUCUCUUAUAC
rnacentral:rRNA from 1 species